AUGUUCUCCGGCGACAUGGCUGAGCGGUGGAGGGAGCUGCACGGCAGCGACCACUGGGAUGGCCUGCUCGACCCGCUCGACGUCGACCUCCGGCGCUGCCUCAUCAACUACGGCGAGAUGAUCAUGGCGACGUACGAGGCGUUCAUCGCCGAGCGUCGGUCCCCGAACGCCGGCAUGUGCCGGUACCGGCGCGCCGACCUCUUCCGGCGCGUGGAGGUGUCCCACCCGGGCUGGUACGCGGUGACCCGGUACAUCUACGCCACGGCCAGCGCCGACGUGCACGGCAAGGUGCUGCUCCGGCCGCUGUGCCGGAACGGGCGCGCAAGGGAGUGCAACUGGAUGGGGUACGUGGCCGUGGCCACGGACGAGGGCGCGGCCGCACUCGGGCGCCGGGACAUCGUCGUGGCGUGGCGCGGCACGCAGCGGGCGCUGGAGUGGGUGGCCGACCUCAAGCUCGCCUUCGCCUCGGCGGCCGGGAUCCUCGGGGCGGAGGGCGCCGACGGGUCCGAACCGUCGGUGCACCGCGGGUACCUGUCGCUGUACACGUCCGCGGACGAAGGCUCGGAGCUGAGCAAGCAGAGCGCCAGGAUGCAGGUAUUGACAGAGAUUGCAAGGCUGAUGGACAAAUACAAGGACGAGCAGACCAGCAUCACGGUGGUCGGCCACAGCCUGGGCGCCACUCUGGCCACGCUCAACGCAGUCGACAUUGCCGCAAAUUACUACAACAAAUCCGCCCUCUGCACGGCCGAGAGCCGGGCGCCGGUCACCGCCGUCGUCUUCGGCAGCCCUCGCACCGGUGACCGCGACUUCCGUGACAUCUUCCACCGCCUCCCAGAUCUCCGGAUGCUCCGUGUCCGGAACCGGCCGGACCGCAUCCCGCUGUACCCGCCCAUGGGCUAUGCCGACGUCGGCGUGGAGCUGCUGAUCGACACGCGCCGCUCGCCGUUCCUUAAGCCCCACGGCAACGAGUCGCAGUCGCACGACCUCGAGUGCCACCUGCACGGCAUCGCCGGGUGGCAAGGGGAGCACGGGGAGUUCAUGCUGGUGGUCGACCGGGACAUCGCGCUGGUGAACAAGUUCGAUGACUGCCUCACCGACGAGCACCCCGUGCCGGUGGGCUGGAAGGUGCACCACAACAAGAACAUGGUGAAGGGGCCCGACGGGUGGUGGGUCUUGGAGGAUCAUGAAUCUGACUACGAAGAUGGAGGUGACAACUUGUAG
rnacentral:rRNA from 1 species